UACGUAGGCACCAAGCGUUGUCCGGAUUUAUUGGGCGUAAAGAGUUCGUAGGCGGUUCGGUAAGUCGGGUGUGAAAACUCUGGGCUCAACCCAGAGCCGCCACCCGAUACUGCUGUGACUCGAGUGCGGUAGGGGAGCGGGGAAUUCCUGGUGUAGCGGUGAAAUGCGCAGAUAUCAGGAGGAACACCAGUGGCGAAGGCGCCGCUCUGGGCCGUGACUGACGCUGAUGCGCGAAAGCGUGGGGAGCAAACGGG
rnacentral:rRNA from 1 species